CCUACGGGGAGCUGCAGUGAGGAAUAUUGGUCAAUGGGCGAGAGCCUGAACCAGCCAAGUCGCGUGAGGGAGUACUGCCCUAUGGGUUGUAAACCUCUUUUGUCGGGGAGCAAAAGCCGGACGUGUCCGGCUGUGAGAGUACCCGAAGAAAAAGCAUCGGCUAACUCCGUGCCAGCAGCCGCGGUAAUACGGAGGAAGCGAGCGUUAUCCGGAUUUAUUGGGUUUAAAGGGUGCGCAGGCGGAUUUUUAAGUCAGCGGUAAAAUCGUGGGGCUCAACCCCAUCCAGCCGUUGAAACUGGGGAUCUAGAGUGUGCGAGAGGUAUGCGGAAUGCGUGGUGUAGCGGUGAAAUGCAUAGAUAUCACGCAGAACCCCGAUUGCGAAGGCAGCAUACCGGUGCACAACUGACGCUCAGGCACGAAAGCGUGGGUAUCGAACAGGAUUAGAUACCCUUGUAGUC
rnacentral:rRNA from 1 species